rnacentral:rRNA from 1 species
AGCAGCCGCGGUAAUUCCAGCUCCAAUAGCGUAUAUUAAAAGUUGUUGCAGUUAAAAAAGCUCGUAGUUGAACUUCGGGGUUUACCCAUUGGUCAGGCUUAAUUGUCUGUACUGGUGAGAUGAAUCUCUACCUUCUGAGGAACUUUCAUGCCAUUUAUUUGGUGUGAUGGGAAAUCAGGACUGUUACUUUGAAAAAAUUAGAGUGUUUAAAGCAGGCUAACGUCUGAAUACAUUAGCAUGGAAUAAUGAAAUAGGACGGACUGAUUCUAUUUCGUUGGUUUCUAGGAUCACCGUAAUGAUUAAUAGGGAUAGUUGGGGGCAUUAGUAUUCAAUUGUCAGAGGUGAAAUUCUUGGAUUUAUUGAAGACUAACUACUGCGAAAGCAUUUGCCAAGGAUGUUUUCAUUAAUCAAGAACGAAAGUUAGGGGAUCGAAGACGAUCAGAUACCGUCGUAGUCUUAACCAUAAACUAUGCCGACUAGGGAUCGGACGAAGUUGAUUUUAUAAUGACGCGUUCGGCAC